UGUCAAAAGAAACAAAAAUAAAUAUGGACAUUGUUUAAGAAAAAAUACUAGAAAUUGUUUUUACUAAGUCAAAUUUUAACUUAGAAUUCAACAAUUCUUGUUAAAAUGAGAGAGGACAAGAUGGCGGAGGAGUAGGGGGACACGCUCGCCCUCUCCCACAAACACAACAAAAAAAGCACAUCUACAGAAUAAAUGACUCGCACAGAACAGCAACCAAUCGCUGGCAGAAGAACCUAAACUCCAAUAACGGCAAGAAGUUCGUGACAUUACUGGGCAGAACGGGAGCAAAGAGAAGAGUGAGAGAAGGUGAAUCCGAGCGGGACGGGCGCUCCCGAAAGGGAACUGCGGAGGAGAAAGGGAUCCCGCACCCUGGAAAGUCACCUACAGGGGGAAAGAUCAAACGAACCGGAGGAAUCUCCAGAUGCAGAGAAGAGUGUAGCAGUAAGUUGGAGUACGGAAAAGCCGAUCAAGAACCCAACGGACCAUCUGAACUACGGGCACAGUCACCAAAAAUUGAGACGCCUGGGUGGGGGCUGGGCACCGAAUCCUCGGCUCCAGAGGUUAGUCCCCGGGAAAGGGCCGGGGGACGCCUGGGGGGCUGGGCACCGAGACCUCGGCUCCAGAGAUUAGUCCCCGGGCUAGGGGGGCGGGGAAGAGCGGAAACUGCUUGGGAGGUCUCUAAACCAUUUGACGGGGCAGAGACUGCCUGGGAGACUAGAAAACAAAGCUGUCGCAGAGGAAGGGAGCAAUACUCUAGGGGCGGGGAAGUGGAAAGCCGCCUCAGAGGGAACCUGGGAGAAGAGCCUGGUCUGCGCCCGUGCUGGGGAGGGGAGAGAAGAAGGGGUGGGUCCCCAUAGAAUACCCCCCACGCCACAGCAAGCUUACAGGCCCGCUAGCUAGCAGAAAGCUGUGCUUCCCAGUGCAUUCCCUCCCCCCACCCCCGCCACCCCCUACGCUCUCGCCGAACCUGGGGCUGCCUGCCAUCCAGGAGGGCUGGCCUCAACAAUUGCCUGAAGCCUACCACCGCAGGGGCUCUCCCUGCACAGGCCUGCUUGCCCUUUGGAGGGGCUACACUUCCACAGAGCAGCACCAAACACCACCAGCCCCCGAGAAAAGGCCUGCAGCCCAGAAAAGCUAGAACAAGCCUAGCCAGGCCCCGAAUAGAUCUGCCUAAUUCUCGGAUGGUUUUUCUGAGUUGGGUUGCCCGGGGGAGGAGCCUCUUCAGU
rnacentral:lncRNA from 1 species